rnacentral:lncRNA from 1 species
CCACCGGCUGAGCCGCCUCGGCGCUACCGCCCUGACCGAAGCAGAAGAAGCUGCUUCUGCUGCCUAUUCAGCGUCUUCUGGAAGAUUCUUCUUGCGCUCAUCGUGCUGGUCGUGAUAGCAGGAGUCAUAUUCUACCUGGUGGUUCAGCCUCGCAUAUUCAAGUUCUACGUCAACGACGCAGAAAUAACGCAAUUCGAUUACAACACCAACACCACCCAACUCCGCUACAACAUGGUGCUCAACUUCACCGCCCACAACCCCAACAAGAAACUCGGCAUCUACUACGAUCAAGUGCUGGCCAAAGCCUUCUACGAGGACACCGACUUCGCCUCCGCCAACGUCAUCACUUUCAUGAACUCCUUCAGGCAAGACAAGAAGGGAACCAACCCAUCGGCUUCCUCGGGGCAACACCCGGAGCCCCGACCCGAUGUCCGAGAUAACCAUCUCCCCCCACGUGGAUAGGGACAACUCACAAGUAUCCUGAUCAGUGGGCUAGGUCACCUUUAGGCCCGCCCAGCACAGUAUAUAAGGGGAGAGGUCAGCUCUCCCCCCGAAGUACACAUCACCUUACCUAAAUUGGCUAUCUUUUCGUACAGACACUGACUUGAGCGUCGAAGUGUCCUUGCAGGUGGCCAUCCCCUCUCGUCCGUUCAACCACCGGCUUCGCCAGUCUCCCGCUUGAACCCGAAGACCCGUUCUAGGUCGCCCCAGGAUCUCGCCCCCUUUAUUCUUUCACCACCAUCCGACCUGACGAGAACAGCUAUAAAAUUCAUGAACCUUAUAUAUAGUCUAACUUAUGCCAUGCAAACUAAAGGUAUUAACUAUGACGUAUAUAUAUUCUAAUAAAAAUUUUAUAAUUAUUUUUAUAUAAAAAUAUUUUAUUUUAAUUAUUAAAUAAUAAAUUAUAAAAUUUAAUUUUAAUAUAUUAUAAAAAUAUUAUUUUUAUUUUUAAUAUAACUAAAUAAAUAAGUUCCACUUUUAAAUAAAAAAUAUUUAUAAAAAGAUGUUUUUAAUAUAACUCAUUCAAUUCAUUCACCUGGCGUGAAAUUUUCUUCUAGAGUUGGUUCGUGGCGAUUUCGGGAGAGAUAGAAGAAGAUAUUGAGAAAAGUCAUUCAAUUCAACGAUGCUACAUCGAAACAUGCACCCAGUCAAUUCAAUCCACUCUUGAUCCAUUCCAUUGAUACACAACCGCGUUAAUCCCUUCUACAAUUCUACUAUAUAUACUCAUUAUUAUUCUCAUCUAUCUACCUCAUCGUGCUUCUAACAUUCAUUCAAUCACACUUGUUCAUUUCUAUUUAAUUUCUAUCUCUUAAUUAAUUAAGCAUGGCUGAUAAUAAGCAACCAAACUUGAACGGAGCCUACUACGGACCAGCCAUUCCACCGGCUGAGCCGCCUCGGCGCUACCGCCCUGACCGAAGCAGAAGAAGCUGCUUCUGCUGCCUAUUCAGCGUCUUCUGGAAGAUUCUUCUUGCGCUCAUCGUGCUGGUCGUGAUAGCAGGAGUCAUAUUCUACCUGGUGGUUCAGCCUCGCAUAUUCAAGUUCUACGUCAACGACGCAGAAAUAACGCAAUUCGAUUACAACACCAACACCACCCAACUCCGCUACAACAUGGUGCUCAACUUCACCGCCCACAACCCCAACAAGAAACUCGGCAUCUACUACGAUCAAGUGCUGGCCAAAGCCUUCUACGAGGACACCGACUUCGCCUCCGCCAACGUCAUCACUUUCAUGAACUCCUUCAGGCAAGACAAGAAGGGAA